rnacentral:rRNA from 1 species
UACAGAGGGUGCAAGCGUUGUUCGGAAUUAUUGGGCGUAAAGGGCGCGUAGGCGGUUUGUACAGUCAGAUGUGAAAUUCCUGGGCUUAACCUGGGGGCUGCAUUUGAUACGUGCAGACUUGAGUGAGGAAGAGGGUUGUGGAAUUCCCAGUGUAGAGGUGAAAUUCGUGGAUAUUGGGAAGAACACCGGUGGCGAAGGCGGCAACCUGGUCCUUGACUGACGCUGAGGCGCGAAAGCGUGGGGAGCAAACAGG